rnacentral:rRNA from 1 species
CCUACGGGAGGCAGCAGUGGGGAAUAUUGCACAAUGGGGGAAACCCUGAUGCAGCAACGCCGCGUGAGCGAUGAAGGCCUUCGGGUCGUAAAGCUCUGUUCUAAGGGAAGAAUACUGACGGUACCGUAGGAGGAAGCCCCGGCUAACUACGUGCCAGCAGCCGCGUUAAUACGUAGGGGCCUAGCGUUAUCCGGAAUUACUGGGCGUAAAGGGUGCGUAGGCGGCGAUUCAAGUCAGGGGUGAAAGGCUACGGCUCAACCGUAGUAAGCCGUUGAAACUGUAGGGCUUGAGUGCAGGUGAGGAGAGUGGAAUGCCCAAUGUAGCGGUGAAAUGCGUAGAUAUUGGAAGGAACACCAGUUGCGAAGGCGGCUCUCUAGACUGUAACUGACGCUGAGGCACGAAAGCGUGGGGAGCGAACAGGAUUAGAUACCCUUGUAGUC